rnacentral:rRNA from 1 species
GACGAACGCUGGCGGCGUGCUUAACACAUGCAAGUCGAACGGAAAGGCCCUGCUUGCAGGGUACUCGAGUGGCGAACGGGUGAGUAACACGUGGGUGAUCUGCCCGCACUUUCGGGUUAGGCUGGGGAAAUUGGUUUAAUUACGGAAAGGGGGCCUUUUUAGGGGGGUGGGUGGGAAGGUUUUUUUGGUGUAGGAUGAGCUCGCGGCCUAUCAGCUUGUUGGUGGGGUAAUGGCCUACCAAGGCGGCGACGGGUAGCCGGCCUGAGAGGGUGGACGGCCACAUUGGGACUGAGAUACGGCCCAGACUCCUACGGGAGGCAGCAGUGGGGAAUAUUGCACAAUGGGCGCAAGCCUGAUGCAGCGACGCCGCGUGGGGGAUGACGGCCUUCGGGUUGUAAACUCCUUUCGCUAGGGACGAAGCUUUUUGUGACGGUACCUAGAUAAGAAGCACCGGCUAACUACGUG